CCCUUAACUAUUAAAAGCUUCGUUUUGGUCCGUUAACUUACUUUUUGGUUUCGUUUUGGUCCCUUAACUCAUCCUCCGUCAACCACUUUGGUCCUUUAUGUUAGGAUGAAUGUAUUAGAGUUAAGGGACCAAAAUGAAACAAAAAAAAUAAGUUAAGGGACCAAAACGAAACCGAGAGAUAAGUUAAGGGACCAAAACGAAACUUUUAAUAGUUAAGGGACCAAAAGAAAACCCAAAAAUAAGUUAUGGGACCGAAACGAAACUUUUAAUAGUUAAGGAA
rfam:Medicago truncatula strain A17 chromosome 8, whole genome shotgun sequence.